rnacentral:rRNA from 1 species
UGAAUACGAGAUGCUACGGCGUCGAAGCAGUCUAUGUCAUACUUCCAAGAAAAGCUCGCACUGUCAUAAACAAAUAAUGCCUGUACCAUAACCGACACAGGUGGGUAGGUAGAGUAUACUAAGGGGCGCGAGAUAACUCUCUCUAAGGAACUCGGCAAAAUGACUCCGUAACUUCGGGAGAAGGAGUGCCUUAUUUAUAAGGUUGCAAUAACAAGAUCCAAGCAACUGUUUAUCAAAAACACAGGUCUCCGCUAAGUCGUAAGACGAUGUAUGGGGGCUGACGCCUGCCCAGUGCCAGAAGGUUAAAGAAGUUGGUUAGCAUUCGCGAAGCUGAUAACUGAAGCCCUGGUGAACGGCGGCCGUAACUAUAACGGUCCUAAGGUAGCGAAAUUCCUUGUCGGGUAAGUUCCGACCCGCACGAAAGGCGUAAUGAUUUGGAUACUGUCUCGGAGAGGGGCUCGGUGAAAUAGACUUGUCUGUGAAGAUGCGGACUACCUGCACCAGGACAGAAAGACCCUAUGAAGCUUUACUGUAACUUGAGAUUGAAAUUGGACUUUACUUGCGCAGUAUAGGUGGGAGGCGUUGAUAAUAUUCUUGCGGGAUUAUUUGAGCCAUCAGUGAGAUACCACUCUUGUAAUGUUAGAUUUCUAACUUUGUAUCAUUAUCUGGUCAAAGGACAGUUUCAGGCGGGCAGUUUGACUGGGGCGGUCGCCUCCUAAACGGUAACGGAGGCGCACAAAGGUUUCCUCUGAACGGGUAGAAAUCGUAUCUAGAGUGUAAAGGCAUAAGGAAGCUUGACUGUGAGACCUACAAGUCGAGCAGGGACGAAAGUCGGUCUUAGUGAUCUGACGGUGCUGAGUGGAAAGGCCGUCACUCAACGGAUAAAAGUUACUCUAGGAUAACAGGCUGAUCUCCCCCAAGAGUUCACAUCGACGGGGAGGUUUGGCACCUCGAUGUCGGCUCAUCGCAUCCUGGGGCGGUAGUACGUCCCAAGGGUUGGGCUGUUCGCCCAUGAAAGCGGUACGCGAGCUGGGUUCAGAACGUCGUGAGACAGUUCGGUCCAUAUCCGGUGUAGGCGUUAGAAUAUUGAGAGGAGCCUUCUUUAGUACGAGAGGACCGAGAAGGACAUACCUCUGGUGUACCAGUUAUCGUGCCAACGGUAAACGCUGGGUAGCUAUGUAUGGAGUGGAUAACCGCUGAAAGCAUCUAAGUGGGAAGCCCACCUCAAGAUAAGUAUUCUCAUC